GGAAAACACUGGAGUCCCUCAACUAGCUGAGUAGAAACUGCAUUAUCAGAUUUAAGAUGUAUAGAAUAGAAGAGGAUCCCUAUAGUGAAGAGAAUGAAGUUGCCUCUUGAAAAUACCGGUAAAGCCAAUGGCAAUUUCAGGAGUUGGAAGGCCUGCAUAAGAAACAGGGAAUAUCUGAAGAGAAAAGAUGAUCUCAUGGUUAAAGCAGCUCAACGUAAGUGCUUGCCCUUUGUGUUCUGUAUGGGUGAGAGUGUGUCUGUGGAAAAGGAAAACAUCAGCUGGUGACUGGCUGAAGAAUGCAGACAGAAAAAAGACCAAACAAGAAGAAUCUGCCCCAGAACAGAGAAAGAACAAGGUCAAUUAACCUUCAAGGAAGAACAGUGAUAAGCCAGCAAGAGCCCAGAGUACUGGGUGAUUUGACAAGGCUAUAAAAGAUGGGGCAAGACAUUGAUUUUGGGUCUUGUUCUGCAUGUCAGCAUGGAGCAUCAGUUUGUCUGACGGGAUGGACUAGCAGGAGCCUGGCUCCUACUUGUGAUCAACUUGACUGGCCACUAAGUUGAUACGAGUACUGAUAAGACUGUUAACAUAUAACAGUGCAGAACAGAAAUUGGGGUAUGAAUCUUGGGUGUGUGUGUGAAUUAAGCACUUAGUCAGUAAACACAGAAGUUUGCCUUAUCCUCCCUCAUAAGGUCUCACUCGUGAUAUGAGCAAUUGGCAACUUGUGUAACACUAGGGAAUGUUGUCCACUAUUAGGCAGCCAAGUAGUGUAACUAUGAACCUGAUCUCAGUG